UACGUAGGGCGCGAGCGUUGUCCGGAAUUAUUGGGCGUAAAGAGCUCGUAGGCGGCUUGUUGCGUCUGCUGUGAAAUCCCGGGGCUUAACCCCGGGCGUGCAGUGGAUACGGGCAGGCUGGAGGCAGGCAGGGGAGAAUGGAAUUCCCGGUGUAGCGGUGAAAUGCGCAGAUAUCGGGAGGAACACCGGUGGCGAAGGCGGUUCUCUGGGCCUGUUCUGACGCUGAGGAGCGAAAGCGUGGGGAGCGAACAGG
rnacentral:rRNA from 1 species